CUAGGAUGGGGGUGCGAGGAGAAGCGGGGCUAAGUAUAAAGGAGACUAGAUUUUGGGACAGUGGACGUGUGGAAGGCAGCUUCCAAAGCGCCUUUAACAAUCCACAAAGAACCAGCAGCUUUCAAGACCAGGCUAUCCCUGCUGUCUGCUGGCACUUGACGUCCAGGAGGGCACAAGUUUCACAGGCCUACAUGGGGGCAGUGUCCUAACUUGAGUGGCAGAGCAGCAGUUGAUGGAGACGGGUGGACUGGGGGCCCUUGAAGGCCCCGGAAAUCAUAGAGGACAGGCAGUGGGGCAGGACUAGGUGCGUAGUGGAGGUCGCCUUUGAUCUUGACAAAACCAGCAGACCCCUUUUUUUCCAGAUAAGGGGUUGUGAACCCACCUGGGGAUGAGGCCUGGUCUUAUGGAAGGUGGACUUAGCUUCGCUGGGCGGACAGCUCUGGCCCAGGGUGAA
rnacentral:lncRNA from 1 species